ACGAGUACCCCCAACCUGUAUACAUUUAUCGAUCUUGGACUAUCGAUCUCAACAUAAAAUGUACACAACACCAAGAAUGCGUAUUUGCAUAUUUAUGUAUUAUGUAUGCAUGUAUUGUACGCCGGCGCAAUCGGAAAUAAAAUAUUUAAUGGCCGUGCGAUUAUGUAUGGAUGUGAAGGUGCUUAUAAGCCGGUGAAAAUAUAUAUAUACAUAUGGAUGUGAGCGAUGUAUGUUAUGUGGAUAUAAUUGUAAUAUGCGCAACAAAUAAACAUGUAUAUUUUCCUUGUA